rnacentral:rRNA from 1 species
CGGGACGGGUGAGUAACGCGUGGGUAACCUGCCUCAUACAGGGGGAUAACAGCUAGAAAUGGCUGCUAAUACCGCAUAAGACCACAGUACUGCAUGGUACAGUGGUAAAAACUCCGGUGGUAUGAGAUGGACCCGCGUCUGAUUAGGUAGUUGGUGAGGUAACGGCCCACCAAGCCGACGAUCAGUAGCCGACCUGAGAGGGUGACCGGCCACAUUGGGACUGAGACACGGCCCAG